AAGGUAUACAAACUAUUUUGGCAGUUAUUGUUUUAGUGGAUUCAAAACUUUUAUCAAUACCUUUUCAUUUGCACUUUUAAAUUGGCCGAAUUUAUUUUUGCGAUUUUGUUCUAUCCACGAAAAUUUUUAACCAGCCAAUAUAACCCACUAUAAAUACAGUAACCACUCUAGAUUUUAUUUGAAAGAUAUAUUUUCCUCUUGACUAAGUGGAAAUGUAGGUUGAUUGUUCUUUCCAGGCACCCCAGCUUUCUCAACCAAUAUUAAUUAAGUGCCAGGAAAUGGCAGAACAUUGCAGCUGGAAAGUGACAGUCAAUACUGAUCAAUCAAUCAAAAGUCAAGACAAGAUACACUAUUCAGGUGAUAAUCAUAACAUGUGAACCCAACCUUUCAAUACACAAAGAAUCAGUUUGGUUUAGCCAUUUUUUGCUGAAGAUGUGUGUCUGACAAUUUAAGCCUCCAUGGAACACAUUAUUUGGGACAUAGAAAUUCUGGGUUUCUGUCCCUCAGUUCUUGUUAGCGCACCCACCUGUACAAAUCCUGAUAGAUUUUUAUAAAACUUUAAUCAUAGGUAUAGAUUUUUAUAAAACUUUACUCAUAGGUAUAGAUUUUUAUAAAACUUUAAUCAUAGGUAUACACCAG
rnacentral:lncRNA from 1 species